rnacentral:lncRNA from 1 species
UUUUGGAAGCCAUUUAAGACAUUUAUCUUCCUUGAAUUUCAUGUACUCUUCACCUAAACUUAUGGUAAUUAUUACAUGCACUAUGAGUAGCUAGAUUCCUUAAAUUAGGUAUUUUGAGACAAACCUGCUUGUACCUUGUUGGAUCAUAUACCUGUUUGAUAUUGAUUCAAUUCUUUUAUGUUAUUGUUACUAUUUAGUUGUUCUUGAUUUUAAUGCGUUUUGUGUAUUGACGAAUGCAUAAAUAGAUAUUAGAUGAAUAUGGAUUAUUGAC